rnacentral:rRNA from 1 species
ACGGAGGAUGCAAGCGUUAUCCGGAUUCAUUGGGUUUAAAGGGUGCGCAGGCGGAAUGCUAAGUCAGUGGUGAAAUCUCCCGGCUUAACCGGGAAACUGCCAUUGAUACUGUCAUUCUUGAGUACAGUUGAAGUGGGCGGAAUGUGUCAUGGAGCCUUCACAUACUUAUAUAUGCCACAAAUGCCCGAAAUCGGAGGGAGCUCAGUAAGGUUUCUGUGGUGGUCAUGUAAGAAAGCGUUGGGAUGGAACAG